GACGAACGCUGGCGGCGUGCUUACCUCAUGCAAGUCGAGCGAGAAGAUUCCCUUCGGGGAUGAUUCUAGCGGCGGACGGGUGAGUAACACGGGGGUAACCUGCCUUAUAGGGGGGAAUAGCCUUCCAAAAGGAAAAUUAAUACCGCAUAAAAUUGUAGCUUCGCAUGAAGUAGCAAUUAAAGGAGCAAUUCGCUAUAAGAUGGACCCGCGUCGCAUUAGCUAGUUGGGGAGGUAACGGCUCACCAAGGCGACAAUGCGUAGCCAACCUGAGAGGGUGAUCGGCCACAUUGGGACUGAGACACGGCCUAAACUCCUACGGGAGGCAGCAGUGGGGAAUAUUGCACAAUGGGGGAAACCCUGAUGCAGCACCGCCGCGUGAGUGAUGAAGGUCUUCGGAUUGUAAAACUCUGUCUUUGGGGACAAUAAUGACGGUACCUGACUAAAAAGCACCGGCUAAAUACGUG
rnacentral:rRNA from 1 species